UGGGCAUUACGCAUAUGCUGAUCUACAUAGAAAUGAGCAGUUAAUGAAGAAAAGGGCACAAUAUCCUUAGCAAGAUUUUCCAGGUCAUCUUGGAAUAUUCUCAGAUACCUUUAGGCCUGCUGUGUGAUAUCAUCUUUCCAGCAUGUUCAUGGUCUGCACCAGGUCUUCUACCAUGCAUCUUGGCCAAGACAAUGCAGGGACAUCAGUGAAAAGCUCUGAAGUGGGAUCCUGACUGGAAAAAGAAGUAGACGCUCUCCAAAAGGUUCAGGAAGAGAACUUCUGGAGCAAGUAGGAGUUUGGGGCUGAUGGGAAGGCACAGUGCAGGUUAUCCUCAUACCUAUUUUUACGAGCAUAUACAAAUAAAGUUUUAAUCUUUAUAUAUUUACAAAGCGACUCUUGAGUAGAAGAAAUAAUCUUUUUGAAUAUUAUAAUAAUUUUGAAAAG